ACUGUACACAGCCUGGUCAGGAAUAUGCUAACUUUGAUUACAUCAAAGCUGACGGAAGUCAAUAUGUCAGAACUGUGAUAUUUGGAAGCCAUGCUUGCAAAUACACUCUAUUGAUCAUAAACUGCAGAAUUAUUUUACAGAAGUUAUAAAUGCCUAACAAAGAUCGCAUCUAAAAGACUGGCCCUUCUCUUGGGAGUUAGAAAGUAUUUCAAUCCUUAACAGCUUUGGACACUCUACGAGGCUCGAGUAAGUUCUCCCACAUCUAAGAUGGUGCUGCUAUGCACAUAGACAACACACGAUAUGAUCCGCGUCCAAAAAAGAACCACUCGACUGAUUGGCUUUCAGUAACUGACAGAUACACCCCAGUAUCUGUCCAUAGGUAUGUUUUGUCUCCACUUUCUGACUUUCUGUCUUUACUGUAAUGGCCUCAGAACUGGUCUCGAACCUCCACAUCUUAGGCACACCUGCCCCAUUCGUAUCACUACCCCCAUCAAUCUUGCUGCGUCCAACCCUCUUAGCUUGCACUAACCACUACACUCAGUCUUUCUUCAUCCGAACGCCGGUCCAUUGAACUUUUCAGAUCUUCGCCCUGCUCAUAUUUUUCCUAUGAAUGUUGACCUGCAACUGCUUAAACAUUUGCACUAUCAAGCUCACCAGUCUCAGAAGGGCCUACAAAAAUCUUAGGCAUUGUUCCUUACUCCAAACUCAGUGAAGAUAAAUUUGAUGGAUAAACGAAGAGAAAUCCGAAAUGAACAGCAAACAAUUUCUGCAGAAGAAUCUGAUAAGACUAUUACAUUUAUCCGGUGUUCAAACCCAAUAGCUAUCUUUCAUCUUUGAUUUUCAGAAGACAAAAUGGACAGGCAAAAAAAGCAAGCGUGGGAAACAACUCUGCAUAUUGAAACUCACUUCCUCGGUGAAAGUUUUCUUCCGCCGAAAUUUACUGAAGCAGAAACCAAACGAAUUUCUAAGUACCUUAUAUGAUGGUAUGUAAGAAUUUUUUAUUUUAAAAAUGCCUCAAAAAAUCAACUCGGGUCCUAUAUACGAUUUAGGUGCAUCUUACACACUUGUGCGUCUUUUUACCCCGCAUCAUCACUCUGUCGUAAUUAAUACAAGGAACUAGAACGGGACGGCGAAUAAAGAAAAAAUGGUGUUCCGACCUUCAAAAUUAUGAAUCCUCACCGAGGUACUGCUUCAAGAAGGAUGAACUUUCUCACUCAUCGAAAUUGAGACCAGCAAAAUAGCGCAAUUGAGUUACUGAUAAUACUCCCU